UGGUUCAGGCGGCCCCCUCCUCCUUCCAAGGGACGUCUAUAGGAACGGCGGCACUCCUCCCAGUCGCUGUUCGCUUUUUUUGAGAAAGCCUGCCGCACCUCCUCCCGCGGCAGGCUUUUUCG
rnacentral:sRNA from 1 species